rnacentral:rRNA from 1 species
GACGAACGCUGGCGGCGUGCUUAACACAUGCAAGUCGAACGGAAAGGCCCUUCGGGGUACUCGAGUGGCGAACGGGUGAGUAACACGUGGGUGAUCUGCCCUGCACUUUGGGAUAAGCCUGGGAAACUGGGUCUAAUACCGAAUAGGACCACGCGCUUCAUGGUGUGUGGUAGAAAGCUUUUGCGGUGUGGGAUGGGCCCGCGGCCUAUCAGCUUGUUGGUGGGGUAAUGGCCUACCAAGGCGACGACGGGUAGCCGGCCUGAGAGGGUGACCGGCCACACUGGGACUGAGAUACGGCCCAGACUCCUACGGGAGGCAGCAGUGGGGAAUAUUGCACAAUGGGCGCAAGCCUGAUGCAGCGACGCCGCGUGAGGGAUGACGGCCUUCGGGUUGUAAACCUCUUUCAAUAGGGACGAAGCGCAAGUGACGGUACCUAUAGAAGAAGCACCGGCCAACUACGUGCCAGCAGCCGCGGUAAUACGUAGGGUGCGAGCGUUGUCCGGAAUUACUGGGCGUAAAGAGCUCGUAGGUGGUUUGUCGCGUUGUUCGUGAAAACUCACAGCUUAACUGUGGGCGUGCGGGCGAUACGGGCAGACUAGAGUACUGCAGGGGAGACUGGAAUUCCUGGUGUAGCGGUGGAAUGCGCAGAUAUCAGGAGGAACACCGGUGGCGAAGGCGGGUCUCUGGGCAGUAGCUGACGCUGAGGAGCGAAAGCGUGGGGAGCGAACAGGAUUAGAUACCCUGGUAGUCCACGCCGUAAACGGUGGGUACUAGGUGUGGGUUCCUUCCUUGGGAUCCGUGCCGUAGCUAACGCAUUAAGUACCCCGCCUGGGGAGUACGGCCGCAAGGCUAAAACUCAAAGGAAUUGACGGGGGCCCGCACAAGCGGCGGAGCAUGUGGAUUAAUUCGAUGCAACGCGAAGAACCUUACCUGGGUUUGACAUGCACAGGACGCCGGCAGAGAUGUCGGUUCCCUUGUGGCCUGUGUGCAGGUGGUGCAUGGCUGUCGUCAGCUCGUGUCGUGAGAUGUCGGGUUAAGUCCCGCAACGAGCGCAACCCUUGUCCUAUGUUGCCAGCGGGCUAUGCCGGGGACUCGUAGGAGACUGCCGGGGUCAACUCGGAGGAAGGUGGGGAUGACGUCAAGUCAUCAUGCCCCUUAUGUCCAGGGCUUCACACAUGCUACAAUGGCCGGUACAAAGGGCUGCGAUGCCGUGAGGUGGAGCGAAUCCUUUCAAAGCCGGUCUCAGUUCGGAUCGGGGUCUGCAACUCGACCCCGUGAAGUCGGAGUCGCUAGUAAUCGCAGAUCAGCAACGCUGCGGUGAAUACGUUCCCGGGCCU